rnacentral:rRNA from 1 species
GACGAACGCUGGCGGCGUGCUUAACACAUGCAAGUCGAGCGGUAAGGCCCUUUCGGGGGUACACGAGCGGCGAACGGGUGAGUAACACGUGGGUGACCUGCCCUCAGCUCUGGGAUAAGCCCGGGAAACUGGGUCUAAUACUGGAUAUGACUCCACGGUGCAUGCCGUGGGGUGGAAAGCCUUGUGCGGCUGAGGAUGGGCCCGCGGCCUAUCAGCUUGUUGGUGGGGUGAUGGCCUACCAAGGCGACGACGGGUAGCCGGCCUGAGAGGGCGACCGGCCACACUGGGACUGAGACACGGCCCAGACUCCUACGGGAGGCAGCAGUGGGGAAUCUUGCGCAAUGGGCGAAAGCCUGACGCAGCGACGCCGCGUGAGGGAUGACGG